rnacentral:rRNA from 1 species
UACGUAGGUCCCGAGCGUUGUCCGGAUUUAUUGGGCGUAAAGCGAGCGCAGGUGGUUUAUUAAGUCUGGUGUAAAAGGCAGUGGCUCAACCAUUGUAUGCAUUGGAAACUGGUAGACUUGAGUGCAGGAGAGGAGAGUGGAAUUCCAUGUGUAGCGGUGAAAUGCGUAGAUAUUAGGAGGAACACCGGUGGCGAAAGCGGCUCUCUGGCCUGUAACUGACACUGAGGCUCGAAAGCGUGGGGAGCAAACAGG